CCAAUAGCGUAUAUUAAAGUUGUUGCAGUUAAAAAGCUCGUAGUUGAAUUUCGGGGUUAGUAGAUUGGUCAUGCCUCUGGUAUGCACUGGUCUCACUGAUUCCUCCUUCCUGAUGAGCCGUAAUGCCAUUAAUUUGGUGUUGCGGGGAAUUUGGACUGUUACUUUGAAAAAAUUAGAGUGUUUAAAGCAAGCUAACGCUUGAAUACAUUAGCAUGGAAUAAUGAAAUAGGACGUUCGAUCCUAUUUUGUUGGUUUCUAGGAUUGACGUAAUGAUUAAUAGGGAUAGUUGGGGGCAUUAGUAUUCAAUUGUCAGAGGUGAAAUUCUUGGAUUUAUUGAAGACUAACUACUGCGAAAGCAUUUGCCAAGGAUGUUUUCAUUAAUCAAGAACGAAAGUUAGGGGAUCGAAGACGAUCAGCUACUGUCGUAGUCUUAACCAUAAACUAUGCCGACUAGGGAUCGGAUGAUGUUAAUUUUUUAAUGACUCAUUCGGCGCCUUACG
rnacentral:rRNA from 1 species